rnacentral:rRNA from 1 species
AAUAUUACAUAAUGGGCGAAAGCCGGAUGCAGCAACGCAGCGUGAGGGAUGAAGGCCUUCGGGUCGUAAAGCUCUUCGAUCAGGGAUGAUAAUGACAGUACCUGAAAAACAAGCCAUGGCUAACUACGUCGCAGCAGCCGCGGUAAUACGUAGGUGGCGAGCGUUGUCCGGAAUUACUGGGAGUAAAGGAUGCGUAGGUGGAUAUUUAAGUGGGAUGUGAAAUCCCCGGGCUCAACCCGGGAACUGCAUUCCAAACUGGAUAUCUAGAGUGCAGGAGAGGAAAGCGGAAUUCCUAGUGUAGCGGUGAAAUGCGUAGAUAUUAGGAGGAACACCAGUGGCGAAGGCGGCUUUCUGGACUGUAACUGACACUGAGGCAUGAAAGCGUGGGUAGCGAGCAGG